GUUGGGCUUAUGUGUGUUAGAGUGCAAGCCACAGAGAUUGAUGCAUUUCGACAGCUGUGUGUGUGUGUGUUGGGCAUGUCUGCAGAUCUGGUUGGGUGAGACCGGGCUAUAUAAAAGGGCGGAGCACAAAGCUGAAGCUUUCUCAGUAGUUCUCCCGUCACACUGUUGGGUACCCAAACUACCAGGUGCUCUUUGGUUGGCUGGGCGCUAGAUGGUUGGAGGUUAGACUGGCCAGUUGGAGUAGCAGCCACAGGAUCUUUACCACCACAGAGCCUGUGGAAGGUGUGGAGGAUCCAACUUUCUUUUUUUUUACGACUGCAUUCCGGAACGCUUUUUUUCCCUGGAGCAAGUCGGAAACCCUGAAUUUCAAGUCAUUUUUUGCCGCAUUCCUCCUUUUUGCCUGACCAAAAGGGUGUAAUCGCAACCAGGUUGGCAUAUCAAUCCCUCACGUUUCUACCUUCCCUGCACACUGCCAGCUUUUCCCCUUGCCUCCCCAGUGAAAUUGUUGUUAUUGAUUUGGUGAACUUUGACACAAGACCCAUGUUAUUGGUCAUGGAGAGAUGCAUUUAGAUGGUGGCAUAAUGAGUUAGUUAGGAUCUCUUUAGUGGUGGUGUGCCCCCCCCCACCCCACCACCACACACAGCUGGUCCUGUUUACUUGACUUGUGAGUUGGAGCACUAUCGCUCAGUUUUCCACAUCUCGCAGGAAUGUACUUCAAAGCAGGCCACUCAAGCAGCUGGAAGUAAAGAAAAUAUACAAUUGAAUACUUUAUUUAUUUUUUUAAAGGAUAGACUGGGCUCUUUCCAAUUAUGGUUGUCACUUUUGAAUAAGAUCUGUAAUAUUGUACCGAAUUUAGUGUUGAGGGAAUUCCUUAAAUUGGCAUGAUAACAAUCAAGAUGAUCACUCAUUACAUGUGAUAUCUUCAGAGGCUGAAUGAAUGUAACGUUUUUCGACUCGAGUCCAAGUUUGCGGCUUCGUGAAUGGCAGCAUUGUUUCCCUCGUCAGAUCUAGUUCAGGCAUGCCGAUUGGAGAUUAUUAUUACAUUUUUUUUUUUAAGGUUCUGAGUGUCAGGUCCAAAACCAGACCAGAUGUUAGUUCUGACGAUGGCACUCUUUUCUGGAUGGGUUUGAUUGCAACUAGACUAGACUGCACUGGACAUGACCGGAUCAGGGAGACUGGGUUUGUUCAUAGUCCUCGCCUCAGGUCUCCAGACCAGAGCUGCAUCAACACACCGCGCAAAGAAACCAACCCCAGACCCACUACAGACAUGAUCAUCAGACUGGGCAGGCUGACCCCUGGAUACUUCCGCCUCCUACAGAGACAGGUGGCGGGUGAGGUGCAGACCCAGCCACAGGACCGCGCGGUCAACCAGAUAGCCAUGAUGCUGGCCAUCAUGGGCCUGAGCCUGUCCUACUACAGUGCCAAACGGAUGACGGAGAAGGUCCAUAGGCUCCAGAAGAGAAGAGAUCCCCAUACCCCCUGAAGAGACCCCCCUGGAGAUUACAGUGUCGGUGUCCAGAACAACACCUUUUCACAACCAAUCAGUCGUAGUCACGUCGUUCAGACACUGGAGUUUUACUGGGAUCACUCUCAAUGUGAGGAGAAUUCGGG
ensembl:lncRNA